rnacentral:rRNA from 1 species
CCGGGGUUUCUUUACCUGCUACAGUCAUUAUCUUCACAGGCGAAAGAGCUUUACGACCCUAAGGCCUUCAUCACUCACGCGGCAUGGCUAGAUCAGGCUUGCGCCCAUUGUCUAAGAUUCCCCA